ACCGGCCUCUGUAAUAUUAUUCUUCCUCUUACAGGCUUCUACUGUGAAAACUGUUUCCGGAAUAUGGGUGACGUGUGUCCCAUCUGUGCGGCUCCGGAUGAGGACGAGGAAGUGGACUCCAGUGAUGAGGAGUGGGGUGUACCUCCUUGGAGGGAGAGCCCCGCACCUAGUGAGGAGGAUUCUGGCGAUACAGACUACGACUAUAUAUUGGAGUCUGAUGACUGACGGACACCCCCACAGCGCCAAACGUUCUCCCAGUUUCCAGUUAUGGUUUCCAGUUCUCAGUUAUGUGUUUUCCAGCAGAACAUUGCGCUUGUUUUUGUUUCCAUUUUUGCAUCAUUAAUCUAUUGUGGGAACCACAAGGAGGGUUCUGUGAGAGUUCUAUAUGCGCAGUGAUUACUCUUUUCCGUGACAUCAUUUCUUCUCAAAAGUGUUAUUCUUCAAAUAUUUCCCGGUUUUUGUUACAGAAAAGUUACAAUAAACAGUU